CGAUGCGCUCAGCCGGAAUCCGGUCGAUCCUCCGGUUGAAUCUCAAGCUAAUGCUGAGCGUGUAUCCGAACGUUUAGAAACUGCUCCAGUCAUAGAUACUGUCAAUAUAAAUCGUCUGGAAGUGUCAGAUUGGUUUUAUACAAUUCAGCAGCAAGAUGAAAAGCUUAAUAAGGACGGCCGAGUGUAACGCCACUGCUGCCACCUAUGCCGCCAAGCCGGAAGCUAGCCAGCCAGCCAGCCAGCCAAUCAUGUAUCACCCGCCACCCGCCUAGCCAAGCCUUGUGGUGGGAGUGGGAUCGAGAAGCCUGCCUAUUUAAGCGAGCGCGCACUUUUGGUCGUCUCCUUUUUUUGCUAACAUUUUGUAAGGGGAAACCCUGCCCGUUUACGGAAUUAAAUUACCUGUCCAUAUAAGAA